UGAUGAUUUCUUAUGCAAAUGAACGUUAAUUGUUAUCUUUACUUGACAUUACGCUUCUAGCACAUUUUGGCACGGAAAAGUAAGAUGCACCCAACACUAGUUCAAAGACAUAAAACAGAUAUUUCCUUCGCCAAACGGUCCUUAGAUUUGAAACAAAUCUUAUCAAACUCGCUAUCUUAACCAUAUGGUAUGGGACGUGACAGUCAAAUUCCAUUUCGAAAAACUCCUGCUGAUAAAAAUUAAUCAAGGUUUCUCUAUUACACACUACACUCUUUCGAAUGCCAUUUGACAACGAGUGUCAAAGUAGAAAGGAAAGAAAAGAAGAAAGAAGAGGAAAAACAUCCAUGGUUUGCAAAGUGCAUCAUGGCGUGGUCGUUGCUGUUACUGCUUCUGAAAGUUCUGUUAAUUCAAGGAGUAGACUCACUGUCAUGUGAAUUCAACAAGGAUUUUUGUGGAUGGCAGCACCCAGUAAAUGCCACGGAUAAAUGGAUCUUGACUUCAGAACUGCACGGUAACUACACGACCUUCUUUCGCAAUGGGCAGCUAAUUUACCCCAACUUCACGGGGCAUGGAGAUCUUGUCCUCUCCUAUUACUUGUUCAGUAAUAGUUAUGAAAAAAAUGAGGAGUUGAGGGUGAAGGUAGGAAAUGCCACACUGCUGUCUGUAUUCGACGAGAGCAUUUAUUGGCCUUUAAGUUGGAACUCAUCUCGACUUCGGGUUGAUGCUGAUCGGGAAAAGGUCAUUAUCGAGGGAAUAAUUCGUAACAAUGCAGUGUCAGGAAUUGUGAUUGACAGCAUCAAGUUCUACGAGAAAAACGCUUCUUCUUGCCCGCCACUCUUGACUCCGUCGAAUGGCACGAUGAACUGUACACAAGACAGCACUGCUGUAGGCACCGUGUGUGUCUUUGGCUGCGAAGGUGGUCGGCGAGUCGUCGGAUCUACGGAGAGGCGGUGUCAGCCGACCGGUGAAUGGUCAGGUGUUCAGCCCGCAUGCCAAACCACGAUUAGACUAACUGAGGGGUACACCCACAUGGAUGGCGACGUUGAAAUACAAGUCGACGGUCGAUGGGGAAAGAUUUGCAUUGGCGCAAGAUGGAUACAGGAAGAAUUAGUCGCCAUGUUAACCUGCCGAUAUUUUGGAUACGAGGGGGGUGCAUACCUAAUUACGUCACCAUGGCAACGCAUACCUUGUGAUGCCUGGAUGGAUCUAAGGUCAUGUGACGGCACCGAAGCAUCGGUUACUGAAUGUGUUGGAACAUUCGAUCGGUACAUCUGUCCCUAUCACAGAAAACUGGCAGUGAAUUGCAAUAAGGCACCAUGUCCCGGCAAUUGUUCUUGCUCCGGUGAGGCCGUAAAUGAGAUCAGAUGUAGGAAGCAAGAUAUCCUGCCACAAGAACUGAUACUCAUUCCCUACUACACAGAGAAAGUACACAUACAUGGAGUGGACUGGAGUAUGUUGAAAAGUAUAAUGGAAAACCCGGCGAAUAGCAAAAAACGCCUUAACAUUCGGUUGCUGAUCAUGCAGUCUCGGUACAUGAACCCCCGCCGAUCUGGAUGAAACUUGGCCAGUUUGAUGUGCUCCCCAGAGGACCUCCACACCUCCAACGGUUUGAAUCUAAGCUAUUGAACCGCAACAGGCCAGCACAUCUGCGUCAUCCGUAGAAGCACUUUCUCCUCGUUGUUUAGAAGGUGAAACUAGUAAGAGUGUCAAUGUGUUAAUCGGGUCGUCAUCUUCCGCUGGCCUAGAAAACACCUCGGCAAAGUGGGAUCAAACACCCAAGCACAGGCUUACCAACGUCACAGUCAGU